rnacentral:lncRNA from 1 species
CAAUUUUAGCCUGGGGCCUAAUUACAAAAAAACAAAAAAACCAAACCAAUUAAACUAACCCACCAACCCAACUAGCCUAACCCGGAGCCCAAAAACCCGAACGGCCCAAUACCCGAGCCCAAUGGACAAGCCCACAUCAGACUAGGGUUUCAGAGACUGAAACCCUAGUGCCCCACUUGCAUCUACCGCCGCCGUCAAUCACCUCAGCCACCUGCCCUCUGACUCGCGCCGCACCUGCCACCGACACCCUCACCUACUCUACCUGCAAAAGAAAGGAUACAAUAGCAGUAGGAAAUAGGGAUUUUGGUUGUGAAAAAAUGGCUAUAAAAGGCCAUUCAAAAAAAUUGUAAAGGGUUCGGCCCCUGUUUUCCGCAAAGAAGUGAAAUAAAAAAGGUUGAACACCCAUUUCUGACCGGUUUUCCUUUUUUUUUCUCUCUCUACUGUUACUAUUGUUUUUUACAAUUUUAUUUCUUUCAUUUUUUACACAAAAAUAUAUAAAAAAAAGGAUUAAAAAAAAGAAGCUUCUUACCCUUUUCUUUACGUCACCGGAGCGCUCAGGAGGCCGAGGAGAGUCAUCGGAGAGAAAAAGGGAGACUUUUGGUCUCCCCGCCGCCGUACACGGUGGCGCCGGCGCCGGAGGGCGGCGGCCGGUGCGGUGGCUCUCGGCCGGACCCUUGGCCGGCGCUCAGAGAGAAAAGGGGAGAGUUGAGAGGAUUUUUGGAAUUUUUUUUGAAGAAGAAAGAAAAAUGAAAGUUUUUGAAAAAAAAUUGGUUUAAAUAGGGGAGUAAAACG